rnacentral:hammerhead_ribozyme from 1 species
GGAUUGCUGAUGAGUCCCAAACAGGACGAAACAGCUGUACGGUGC